rnacentral:rRNA from 1 species
CAUGCAGUCGAACGGCUGUGCGGGGCAACCCGGCGGCGAGUGGCGAACGGGUGAGUAAUAUAUCGGAACGUGCCCUGGAGUGGGGGAUAACGCAGCGAAAGUUGCGCUAAUACCGCAUACAAUCUAAGGAUGAAAGCAGGGGACCGCAAGGCCUUGUGCUCCUGGAGCGGCCGAUAUCUGAUUAGCUAGUUGGUGGGGUAAAGGCCUACCAAGGCAUCGAUCAGUAGCUGGUCUGAGAGGACGACCAGCCACACUGGAACUGAGACACGGUCCAGACUCCUACGGGAGGCAGCAGUGGGGAAUUUUGGACAAUGGGCGCAAGCCUGAUCCAGCAAUGCCGCGUGAGUGAAGAAGGCCUUCGGGUUGUAAAGCUCUUUUGUCAGGGAAGAAACGGUGGGGGCUAAUAUCCCCUGCUAAUGACGGUACCUGAAGAAUAAGCACCGGCUAACUACGUGCCAGCAGCCGCGGUAAUACGUAGGGUGCAAGCGUUAAUCGGAAUUACUGGGCGUAAAGCGUGCGCAGGCGGUUUUGUAAGUCUGUCGUGAAAUCCCCGGGCUCAACCUGGGAAUUGCGAUGGAGACUGCAAGGCUAGAAUCUGGCAGAGGGGGGUAGAAUUCCACGUGUAGCAGUGAAAUGCGUAGAGAUGUGGAGGAACACCGAU